GGUGAUCUGCCCCAAACUUUGGGAUAAGCCUGGGAAACUGGGUCUAAUACCGAAUAUGACCACUGGAUGCAUGUCUGGUGGUGGAAAGCUCCGGCGGUUUGGGAUGGGCCCGCGGCCUAUCAGCUUGUUGGUGGGGUAAUGGCCUACCAAGGCGACGACGGGUAGCCGGCCUGAGAGGGCGACCGGCCACA
rnacentral:rRNA from 1 species